GAUGAAGAACGCAGCGAAAUGCGAUAAGUAAUGCGAAUUGCAGAAUUCCAGUGAGUCAUCGAAUCUUUGAACGCACAUUGCGCCCGCCAGCAUUCUGGCGGGCAUGCCUGUCCGAGCGUCAUUUCAACCCUCAGGGUCCCUCCGCCUCGCGCGGUCGGAGCCUGGUGUUGGGGAUCGGCCCGCCCCGCGCGGCGCCGUCCCCCAAAUACAGUGGCGGUCCCGCCGCAGCCUCCCCUGCGCAGUAGUUAUCAACUCGCACUGGAGCGCGGCGCGGCCACGCCGUAAAACCCCCGACUUUUAGAAAGUUGACCUCGGAUCAGGUAGGAAUACCCGCUGAACUUAAGCAUAUCAAUAAGCGGAGGA
rnacentral:misc_RNA from 1 species